CGAUUAAGACGCUUAAUGACAUUUUCUGUUCUCCGUUAUUCAAUACUUCUGUUGUCUAGUAAGGUGUGGUGUUCCUCCUUACAAGGUAACUUAUCAACAUAUCUUUAUGUUUCCAUAUGGUAACCUCUACCAUUUGAUUUAUAUACAUCUUGGAAUUGUCUGUUUUCAGAUUUGUUGUCACUAUUAUUUAUACUAGCAGCUUCAACUUCCAUAAAUUUCUCCAUUAUAAAAGUUCUACUCUUCAACUUUGUGACCUACUAAUAUG
rnacentral:lncRNA from 1 species